rnacentral:tRNA from 1 species
GGGAGCUGAUUUCCGGUAGACCCGCAGACUCUUAAUCAGCGGGUCCCAGGUUCGAGCCCUGGUGCGCCCACCA